rnacentral:misc_RNA from 1 species
GUAGGUGAACCUGCGGAAGGAUCAUUAACACUCCAAAACUUCUUCAAGGACUCUGAAAAGGGUCCAUGAUGAAACCCUAUUAACCAUUAGCGAACCUAGGCCGGGUGACAGUUGGUCACCUAGCGACACUUUCGUCUUUUUUUUAAUUUUAUUUUAACCCAACACAUUUCUUUUUUUUCGUCUGACUGGAAGAUCUCGGUCUUCCGUUGCUCUCUCUCUUAACCCAGAGAGGCAAUGAAAACUACCAAAA